rnacentral:rRNA from 1 species
GGAGGGUGCGAGCGUUGUUCGGAAUUAUUGGGCGUAAAGCGCGUGUAGGCGGUCUUUUAAGUCUGAUGUGAAAGCCCCGGGCUCAACCCGGGAAGUGCAUUGGAAACUGGGGGACUUGAAUACGGGAGAGGGUAGUGGAAUUCCUAGUGUAGGAGUGAAAUCCGUAGAUAUUAGGAGGAACACCGGUGGCGAAGGCGGCUACCUGGACCGAUAUUGACGCUGAGACGCGAAAGCGUGGGGAGCAAACAGGAUUAGAUACCCUGGUAGUCCACGCCGUAAACGAUGAGUACUAGGUGUUGCGGGUAUUGACCCCUGCAGUGCCGCAGCUAACGCAUUAAGUACUCCGCCUGGGAAGUACGGUCGCAAGACUA